rnacentral:rRNA from 1 species
GACGAACGCUGGCGGCGUGCUUAACACAUGCAAGUCGAACGGAAAGGCCCCUUUGGGGGUACUCGAGUGGCGAACGGGUGAGUGACACGUGAGUAACCUGCCCUUGACUUCGGGAUAACUUCAGGAAACUGGGGCUAAUACCGGAUAGGAAUCCUUGCGGCAUGGUGGGGGUUGGAAAGCUUCGGCGGUUUUGGAUGGACUCGCGGCUUAUCUGCUUGUUGGUGGGGUAGUGGCUUACCAAGGCUUUGACGGGUAGACGGCCUGAGAGGGCGACCGGCCACCUUGGGACUGAGAUACGGCACAGACUCCUGCGGGAUGCAGCAGUGGGGAAUAUUGCACUAUGCGCGGAAGCCUGAUGCAGCAACUCCGCGUGCGGGAUGACGGCCUUCGGGUUGUAAACCGCUUUCAGCAGGUGCGAAGCUUGUGGUGACGUUACCUGCAGAAUAAUCACCGGCUAACUACGUG